CGGUAAUACAGAGACCUCAAGCGUUACCCGGAAUUAUUGGGCGUAAAGCGUCCGCAGGCGGUCAGCUAAGUCAGGCAUUAAAUCCUGAAGCUUAACUUCAGGGCCGUGUCUGAAACUGGUUGGCUAGAGGGAAGGAGAGGCACAUGGAAUUCCCGGUGUAGGGGUUACAUCCGUUAAUAUCGGGGAGAACACCAUUAGCGAAGGCGAUGUGCUGGACUUCUCCUGACGCUCAGGGACGAAAGCGUGGGUAGCGAAUGGAAUUAGAUACUCCAGCAGUCCACGCCCUAAACGCUGGAUGCUAGACAUGAGAAGUUCGACCCUUCUCGUGUCCGAAGUUAACACGUUAAGCAUCCCGCCUGGGAAGUACGGCCGCAAGGCUAAAACUCAAAGGAAUUGACGGGGACCCGCACAAGCGGUGGAGCAUAUGGUUUAAUUCGUAGCCAAGCGUAGAACCUUACCAGGGCUUGACAUCCUUCGAACCCCGCAGAAACGCGGGGGUGCCGCAAGGAACGAAGUGACAGGUGCUGCAUGGCUGUCGUCAGCUCGUGUCGUGAGAUGUUGGGUUAAGUCCUCUAACGAGCGCAACCCCUAUUGUAUGUUUGUUUUAUCAUGCAAGACUGCCCCGGUAUAACGGGGAGGAAGGUGGGGAUGACGUCAAGUCAGCAUGGCCCUUACGUCCUGGGCGACACGUAUGCUACAAUGGGAAGUACAAAGAGACGCCAAGUCGCAAGACGGAGCUAAUCUCAUCAAAACUUCUCUAAGUUCGGAUUGGAGGCUGCAACUCGCCUCCAUGAAGCUGGAAUCGCUAGUAACCGUGGGUCAGCCACACCACGGUGAAUACGUCCUCGGG
rnacentral:rRNA from 1 species